CUCUUCCUUUUUAUUUUAUUUUUUUGUAAAUGCAUGGUUUGCUUCUCUAUAUUUAGAGUGUUAUUUUAUAGUUAACGACACUACCAACUUGUUUCCCUGGCAUUGAUGCUGUUAAUCUUUCAAUAGCAAGGAAAAUGUUGAUCCAGAAUAUAUUUCCACUUCACUUUCUUGGCUCGCUUUUUUGAAAUUUGAUCCAACUUUAUCCAGGUCGUCAACGUUCCAGAGAAGGGAGGUCGUAAGCAUCCUUGAAGUGACAAUAUUCAGACCACUUAGGUAUUGUUGACAAUGAUGUCAUCGAGCUAAAUUAUCUACAACAACAGUUGCUCGAAUCAUUUGCUUCCUCUUCUGUAUAGAGAGAUGAACGUUAUAAGUAGCCAAUUCUACUUCUUUUGAUUUUAUUUUUUUUAAAAAGGAUUUUGGAUGUCAUAGUUAUGUUAAUAAGUAGCUUUUCAUCAAUGUUUCACAGGGAGCUGUGCUGGUUAAAAGUUUGGCUGCCAAGGAACCAUCUGCAUGCUGGAAUUUCUCACUAUCUUUUUAGCAAAUUCUAUCCUCUCCUUCUUCCCAUUCUCCGCUUCCUCUUCUGUAUAGAGAGUGAUGGCUUGGAGGUGCCUUCUCACGCAGGUUGCAAGACAACAGCGAUGGGACAUGCCACAUUUGAGGGGACUGAUUGUUAGACCUCAUCCCACCUUGAGCAAGUUCCAAGGCAGGAAUGGUAUGUUGGUACUGUCGGCA